rnacentral:rRNA from 1 species
UUUUUGUGAAUAAUUUAAAGUCUAGUCUGCCCACUGAAAAAUUUAAAGGGCUGCAGUAUUUUGACUGUACAAAGGUAGCAUAAUCAUUUGUCUCUUAAUUGGUGACUUGUAUGAAAGAUUGGAUGAAAUAUAUACUGUCUCAUUAUAAUUAAUAAAAUUUAAUUUUUUAGUUAAAAAGCUAAGAUGAUUUUAAAAGACGAGAAGACCCUAUAGAGUUUGAUAAUUAUUAUUAUAUUAGGAUAAUGUAAAAUUUUAAAUUAAAAUAAUGAUAAUUAUUUUGUUGGGGUGACAAAAAAAUAAAAUAAACUUUUUUUAAAUAAUUUACAUAUAUAAAUGAAUAAAUGAUCCAUUUUUAAUGAUUAAAAGAAAAAAUUACCUUAGGGAUAACAGCGUAAUUUUUUUUUUUAGGCCUAAUAAGAAAAAGAGUUUGCGACCUCGAUGUUGGAUUAAGAUAAAAUUUAAAUGCAAAAGUUUAAAAUUUU